CGCCGCGGUGGGGCGGAUCCUGGCGAGUCGGUCGCCGGGGCUGGGGGCUGCGGCCUGGCCGAGGCCGCGGGGAGGAAUGCGGGGGACGGGCGGGUCCCGGGAGGCCCGGGCUGGGGGGCAGACGGGGCUGCGACGCGAGGGAGCCAGGCCAAAGCCAGGGGAGCGCGCCACGCCGCCCUCAGAAAGCUCCGCCGCCUCGGGGUCGCCGCGGGACAGAGCUCGGGCUUCUGGCCUCACCUCCCUCUCCGAGUACCCGCCGUAUUCCCCGCGCUGACACCCUGUUCCUGCACUUGCUGCUCAUUCCGACGCCUCCAAGCUUUUACUCUUGUUCUUUGCUCACCCUGCUGUCCUCCUUGUAUUUCCCCCCGGUGAACCUGACCUCGGUGUGACCUCAGCCUAGGACUCAAAGCUCCCUCUCUCUCUUAGGCUGGGCCCCAGACAGCCGAGCGAGCGGCGUCCCUGCGCACCCCAUCCCUAGGCCCCUUCCCUGGGUUGCCUAAACCUACAGCAUGUUCGUUGGCGGACCGUGCCUUUCUGAAACCUCUUGAUUUCUGAUUGCCAGUUAGACACUGGGGACUCAGAGUUAGGACUCAGAGCCCAACGCACCUCCUCUUUCUCCCCAGCGUCUUCCUUCGCGGGUUUCAUUAUUUUUUUCUUUCUUUGUUUUUUUUUUUUUAGUUUCUGGCACAAAAAUCAACCCACCCUUGUUCCCAGGAGCAGAGCCAUUUCUGCCCCUCUCCUCACACUCUGGCCUGGUGUGUGCUGGCCAAGCUUUGAACAAGCCCAGAAGGAGUCCAGUACUGCCCUGCAGGGUGGCAUGGGGGUGUCCUGCUCUGCCUGCGACUUGCCCUUUGCCGCCCCCCCCCACCCCCCCGCGGAAUACCACUUUCCGGCCCCAGCUGACUCCCAACCAGUUGGGGGACCUCCAAGUGUGCAGUUAGUGAGCCACCCACAUCGACCUAGAGGAGGGGUCCCAGGGGACACUGCUGGGCCUCCUAUCACCCCGGAGGCUCCCCUACCUUCUCUCUUGACUUCUCCCCUCUUCUCCAUGUCUCCCUCCCCAUCACCUGCAGGACCUGUGGCUCCCACCCGGACUUCCCCAGGUGUCAGCUUUUACCCCGGGUGAGAUUAUCAAAGGCCUCAGGCCCUCUGACUCCCUGCGGCACUGGGCUCUCCAGCCUCCCCCCUCCCUCCCAGGGAAGCCAUCCUGAUGAUCUGAGCACUCUGCCUCUCUUGACCCCGUGAGUGCCCCAGGCUGCUGUGCCUUGCUGCCUUCUCCCUCCUCCCCUCAGAGAGCCGGUGAUCUUCCACAGCCUCAGAGGCUGUCUUGGGGACGCGAUCUCCUAGUGUGGGCCUCCAUCCUGCUUCCACCAGUCCUGAAUAUAAGCUGGUGAGGACAGAGGCGGCCUUCACUCCCUGGGGAGGAGGGGAGCACCUGCCUCCAUGGAGGGUCCCUAAUGCAAUAGCUCUGUCCCUGGGCCUGGGAUGAGGCUGCUUCGUCUCCACAAACCAGCUCCUACUCCUACCCCCCCCCCACCCCUCUUGUCUGUCCACGGCACCUCCUCCUGACACCCAUCAGGCUUGAAGCCCAGGAGUUCAUCUCGGAUACUUUCCUCACCCUGGCCACAGCCAACUCUUUGUCAGAUCGUAAGGAUUCCCCCUCCGGGUCCUCUUCCCUGCCCCAGUGCCUACAGUGAGUAUCUUUAACAAUGAAACUUAUUUGUCCUCUACCGGACUCCACUCUGGCUUGGAGGAGAACUCCGCCCUUGUCUGAUGCUGGCCUUCAUAGCUAUCUCCCUGCCCCCAGCUGCCCAGCCCAGUCACCCUCCAUUCUCCUGCCACCACUUGCUUAGAAACUUCCAGAUGUUCAUGGCUCCCCGAAUAGACAUUUAGGGACUUAGUUUAGGGACAUUCUGAGCCCUUUGAUGCCUGAUCUGGAUGUCCCUUGCCACUCUUUCCUCCAUUCCCUUUCUGUGCUAGUCCCUUGCUUACCUGACACUAAAGAUCUUACUCCUCCCCCAACACAGGCUACCACUGUCAACAGCAGGCCUUUCAUCUGGCUGGUUCCUUGGGGGGGUGGGGGGGGGAGGGAGGGCGUGCCCUCACUGUUGCCCUACCUUUCUUCUCUGGAAGCAACAGGGUCCACGUUCCUCUUCAUGGGGUUGAAGGGCUUGGCUGUUGCAGAUCUUCACGGCUCUAGAAGACUCUUCCCAAAGUAGGGUUGGGGUAUGGGUGCUCAGAGUUAACCCGGGGCAGAAAGGGACUGUUAAUGGCACUGAGCUAAGACCAGGUUGGAUGGGCUCCUAACUUGUACGGGUUUCUAUUAUUAACCACAUGGACUAGAAAGAAAAGGAUGGUGUUUGAGGCUUCCCAGGUCCUGCAGCCCCAGAGAAAGGCUUCUGGGUUAGAGCCACUGCACCAAGGGGCAAGGCCUCUGGGUGAUGACGGUUAUCAGUUGGGCCAGUAAAUGGAAGGCCAGCGAGGAAAGUCUGAGUCAGUCCUUGUGGUUGGAGGUAAGUGUCUCUGCUUUAGAUCCAGCAAGUCCGUUUCUUGGAAUUCCGGGUGUGUUUUUCUGUCUUGUGCUUCAUGGGCACCACGGUGUGGCGGCGAGAGCCUUGUGAACGAACACUCGGUGUCACUGCAGAGGGAGUGACCUGGGCUGUAAAGAUGCAGGGGCAAGUACUGGGGCCAGUACAGAAGAAGGGCCUGAGCCUGAGACCAGGACAGCAUCUGUAAAGGCCAGUAGAGCUGAACGCGUGGAUUUGCAGUACGGGCUUCAAGGUGGAGCUCCUGGAGCAUCCCAGGGGAUGCAGGGGAGCAGAGCAUUUUUCCUGCAGGUCUGGGCCUUAAAACAGUAUUUCAAAAAUCAAAACUAACUCUCUGUCUCUCUCCCUCCCCCUCCCCCGCUCCCUCUCUCCAAAAGGGGGCUGCAACACCACAGACAACCGAUCCCAGGUGGUGCCUUAGGCACAAGGCUCCAGGCCAGGCUGAGUGUUGGGCCGCAGCGCCCCCUGGAGGCCCAGGAGAUUCAGGCACUUGGAUCCACUUCAAGGUCAAGUUUUCUGAUAGGAAUUAACAGAGGGACAGAAUAAACAUACUAAAGCAUCCACUAAAUACGGUUGUUCGCAUGUUCUGUGAAGAAAAAGAAAAUGCCUGGCGCCAUUCCAGAAGGUUUCCUUGUGGGUAUGCCGUGGCUCUCAGCCUUCCUCCUGGCUGACUUCCCCUGUUGCCAGGGGAAAGACCCACACUACAGGUGUUCGUCUUGCCUUGGGAUCCCUUCCACUCCCGAAUUUAGGUUGAGUUACUCAGUGUUGAAUAAUACACAAUUGGAGUCAACACUCCGGCAGAGGAGUUGAGCUCCCAUCUCCAAUUUCUGGGCUAAAAGACAGAUUGCAUGUCCCCUCAAUUUUCCUGGUUGUCCACACCCCUACCAGUCACGAACCAUCUCAAAGACAACUAGUCUCACCCUCAUUGAGGCAGAGGAAGGGGACUGUUUUACCUGGCGCAGCAAGAUGUGCUUUGUUCAUCCAGCAGCUUUCAGAGAAGGCCCUGGGACCUGCAGAUUUCCAAACUAAUGCUGUACCAACAUCCAACACUGUCCCUGGAGGCCCGCCCCUUAGCUAUCCACAGGCAGUGGUGGAAAAUCAGAAAUAAAAGCAUGUGUGUGUGA